UACAGAGGGGGCAAGCGUUGUUCGGAAUUACUGGGCGUAAAGGGCGCGUAGGUGGCCUUCUAAGUCGAACGUGAAAUCCCUGGGCUCAACCCAGGAACUGCGUCCGAUACUGGAAGGCUUGAAUCCGGGAGAGGGAUGCGGAAUUCCAGGUGUAGCGGUGAAAUGCGUAGAUAUCUGGAGGAAUACCGGUGGCGAAGGCGGCAUCCUGGACCGGCAUUGACGCUGAGGAGCGAAAGCCAGGGGAGCAAACGGG
rnacentral:rRNA from 1 species